CGGGCGGUGAACUCCCAGAUCGCGUCGUCGUCGAGGAGGGCCUCGUCGCCGAAGUAGGCGCCGUCGGCGAGGACGCCGAGGACCUGGUCGUCGCCGUAGGGGCCGGUGCCGACCUUCUCGACGCGGCCGUGCGCCAGCAUGAACACCUCGUCGUUCGAGCUGCCGAAGGAGGCGAUGACCUCCCCGGCGCCGAUCUCGCGCUGGCGGGAGCGCGAGGCGAGCUCGGUGAGGACCGCCUCGUCCUCGUAGCCGCGCAGGGCGGGCAGUUCGCCCAGUUCGGCGGGGAUCACCUCGACGCGGUCGCCGGUCUUGACGAAGGUGAUGCGGCCGUCGCCGACGGAGUACGUGAGCCGCCGGUUCACCCGGUACGUGCCGCCCUGGACGUCGACCCACGGCAGCGUGCGCAGCAGCCAGCGGGAACUGAUCUCCUGCAUCUGCGGAACGGACUUGGUGGUGGUGGCCAGGUUCCGCGCCGCGGCCGUUCCGAGGCUCUGCUGCGGCGCGCCCU
rnacentral:antisense_RNA from 1 species